CGGAAGGGGCGAGCGUUGUUCGGAAUCAUUGGGCGUAAAGGGCGUGUAGGUGGUUCUGUAUGUCUACCGUGAAAGCGUACGGCUCAACCGUAUUUAGUCGGUAGAAACUGCAGGACUUGAGGCUGGGAGGGGCUGGUGGAAUUCCCCGUGUAGCGGUGAAAUGCGUAGAGAUGGGGGAGAACACUCGUGGCGAAGGCGGCCAGCUAGACCAGUUCUGACACUGAGGCGCGACAGCGUGGGGAGCAAACAGGAUUAGAUACCCUGGUAGUCCACGCUGUAAACGAUGGGCACUAGGUGCUGGCGGUCUUGAUCCCGUCGGUGCCGGCGCUAACGCAGUAAGUGCCCCGCCUGGGGAGUACGGUCGCAAGGCUG
rnacentral:rRNA from 1 species